UUCUAUUUUAAUAUAAUAUAGAAUAUACUUAUAAAAUUUAUAAAAUUAGCAAAUAAUUUCAUUAUAAAAUUUAGAAAAUUAGCAAAUAACUUCAUUAUUUUAUUUAUAAUAAAAAUGUAAUUAAAAUUAAUUUAUAAUAACAUUAUACUACUAAUUGCGAAAUUACAAUGCAUUAAUUAAAAGAAUAUUUAAAUUUUUAAAAAGAUUUUGUUAGGUUUUUUUCUCAACAGAUUUUGUUAUUCAUAAAACUAAAAUUUAAAUUUAUAGUUGUUAUUAAUAUCUUUAUAAUUAUUUAGAAAUGUUAUAGAUUAAAUAACCAAUGUAAACAAUAAAAAAUUAUUUAAAUAUAUGGAUCUAGAGUUCUAUUAUGACUAUUUUGUAGUAUAUAAAAAUGGUACUUCUCUUUUAAUAGAGAAGAUAUAACGAUGGUAAGCAUUUCUUAUCUGAUUCUUAUUUAUUUUUUAUACAUUAACAAUAGUAAGGUAAAAUAAACUAACCAAAUUUUUGGCACAUUGUGUGAACUACAUUUAUGAGUAGAAAACAAUCAUGAGAGAGACCGAUGGAUUGAAGAUAAAUAUUUUUAAUAUUUUCAUGAUGAUUAAAUAGUAAAAUAAACAGAAAUGAUUAAAUUCUACCAAAUAACAAAAGAUCUAAGUAUGCUUAAAAUGAGGUAAAAAUAUUUGAGAACAUUAAAAAGAUCAUGGUUUAGUAGUAUAUAUAUAUAUAAAUAUAUUUAAUACAUUUUCUAAGGAUGGUUUACUUUUUCAAAAAACCACACAUGAAAAGAAGUUGUGAUUUCUAUUUUAAUAGAUAAGACAAAUUUUUGGUUAUAUUUAUAUAAUCACGUUUUCUCUUUAUUUAAAGUAGGUAUGAGCAUAAAAUCUGUAACACAAAGUCUGAAUUGAACCCAAACAAAAAAAAAUAUUUGUACCCGGUCCAAAAGGUAAGAAAUACCAAAAUGGGUAUUGUAGGAUGGUAUAAACAUAUAUGAACUCGAAAUGUUAUUAGCCGAACGCGAAUGAGUAACUAAAAAAACAUAAAAAUCUGAAAAACUUCAAAUAUUCAAUUCUAUAUUAAUUUUUAAAUGAUAUUUAAAAAUAAGUAUUUAUAUUUUAAAUAAGUACCUUAAAUAUCCAAUCAUAAAUAAAUUUUUUUAUUUCUUAUGUUUUGUUUUUAAAUUUUGGAUUUAACUUCAGAUAUAUUUGAACCGAACUAAUAUAACUAGAAUCCAAACUACAUAGGUUAGUUUAUGGGUCUAAGGAUGUGAUACAAAUUAGAAUCAAAAUCGAUGUGUUAUAUCCGAACCCGGUCCGUAUUUAUAAAUUUACCAGAAUGAAAUCUAUGAUGUGAUAUAAAUUAUAGCCGAAAUUUAAAAUAUCCAACCCGUUUCCCCACGGAUACCUAAACGCUCAAGCCUAACUUAAAAUGUGUGUUUAUGUUUUGUUCAGUUAGUUUUAUAUUUGAUAAAUAUUUUACAUAUUUGUUGAAAAAACCUGUAAAACUAUACUCAUAAAAAUAUCACUAAUAACAUGUUUCAUCAUAUAAUUAAAUAUUAAUAGUAUCUACUUAUUAAUAUUUAUUUUAUAAAAAAUAUAUAAUAUAUAUAUAUAAUUAUACUAUUAUGUACUUAGCGAGGGUUUUGAAGAAUUUGUUUUUUUUUAUUUGGAUUAAAGUACAAUUAUAUAUAUAUGAAUUAGUAGGCAUAUAUAUUUCUUGUAUUUGUUAAAAUUAUAUAUACAUCUUAACGUAGGUAAAUGAUUUGGAUAGCAAAAAAAAUUAAAUCGCUUAAUGUGAGGACUUUUCAAGGGAUAUCAAAUAUUUGAGAUCUAUUAAGUUACAACAAUCAGUGAUUACAAUUUUUCCUAUUAUGAAAGUAAUUCAAUUCAGAUAGUAUCACAUAAUAUAGUUGCGAUUUUAUACCAGUGUGAUUAGAUUACAAAUUGUUAUAACUGCUGCAAAAUAUUCUUGUUUUCCAAAUAUUUUAUCAUAAAGAAUGCUUUGUAAAAUUUGAAAAAUAACAUUAACAUAGAAUGCAUAAAAAUGAUAGAUAACAUUUUUGUAACAAUGAUAAUUGUUCAGAAUCAUACUUUUUGAACCUUAUAUUGGAAUAUCAAGGAGUUCUUCUAAGCUUGGAAGAGACCUUGCAUUUGAACUGACUAUGAAUAAUGCGGGAUCACUUGUAUCAACAACUUAGAAUUUAAGGAUCCGUGUGACAUGUACAAAGCUUUUUUUCUUUUUGGUCAACAACAUGGACACAAAGCUAAAGCUGGUAAUUUGUGAUUUAGCUUUAAAUGUUCAGACCUCAACCUUUAAAUGUACAGGCUUCAAGAAAGUGGCAAAGCUUCAAAAAUAGACCAUUCUCACGAAGCUUAAAAAUCUAGAACAUGAUUUGUGAGAUAUCAAACUAAAUUCCACAUUGAAAAAUUAGAUAAGAAGUGUCUAAUAUAUAAAGAGAUAUCCAACUCUAAUUAGUACGAGACCUUUUAAGAAGGAAACCAAAAAUAAAUCCAUGCAGCUUUGCCUAAGGCCCAAAGUGUACAGACAAUAUUGUGCAGAGAUCAACGCUGAGCUACGAGUCCAGGAGGAGAAGAUGUCUCUUCUUGAAUGGCUUGCUGACGAGUACAAACGUUUUGGCUGAGUUCGUCACUAACAAGUCCCAAGAAGGUUGAUCAGAGACCAAUGGGGAGUUAGAGUGAACUACACAUCUCAUUUCAUAAAGUUCUUCUGCAUGGCUUUAUUUCAAGUCAACGCUUAAAAAUAUUAUAGAAAAAAUGUCUCAACAUAGCCAUGCUGCAUGAUGCAAGCAGGCUGUAGAUUGUCGAAGCAUUGGAUACUAUUUUGUAAUCUGUCUAGGCUUUACUAAGGUAGCACUUUGUAAGGCUAAGGUGUAAUAUGAAAGCUCUAAGUAGAAUUUAAGAGUUCUUAUUAAGUUUCUUAUUGGGCAAUUCUCAUAAAUAAACUAUUUUCAAGUUUUGGUCACAAAAAUAGACCACAAAGAGGAAAAUGACCAAAAUAUUUCAUUUAAUAGGUAAAAAGACAAUAAUACCCUAGAUAUAUAAAAAAAUAAAAAAUUUUUUUUAUAGUUUUAGAUUAUAUGUUUUCAAAUUCAAACUUUUUUAUAAAUUUUUUUUUUUUGAAUUUUUUCAAAUUUUCCUUUUGUAAUUCGAAAACAAUUUUGAAACUAUUUUUAAAAAUUUUAUUUUCAAAUUUUUAAUAUUUAUUUUCUAUUUUAUACAAUUUUAAACCUCAAACCCAAAUCUCCACCCCUUAAUUCUAAACCCUAAGGUUUGGAUUAGUUAACCCGAGGGUUAUAAGUGUAUAUUUACCUCUUUAAUAAAACAUUUUGGUCAUUUUAAUUCUUAGAGUCUAUAUUUGUGAUAUAAACUUUUUUAGUGCUAUCCUAGAGUAUUUCCAUUUCUUAUUUGUUUACAGAAAGGAGUCUCUGAUUUUUUGUGUUGUAAACAAAACUGCAUAAACACGUUUUAGGAAAGCAAAAACAAAAAUUCAUAUAUUUUUAGAAUAUUUUCAUAAAUAACUUCCAUAAUUUUUGGAGAUCAUGUGUAUCUUAUUCGUAUAAUAUAAUGUAUCUUCUACCCAACGUAGAAACCAUACAAUUUUCCUAUAAGCAGAUUCUACUAUAAGUAGCCUUUUGAGUUAUGUCUAGAUAUAAUAUUCCUAAAAUUUUAGAAUUGUUCAUAAAAAUAGAAGAUGUAUUGGAUAUAAUUGUAGAACCCUUUACAAUGGGUAGACUUUACAUUCUCCAUAUUAAGAGUUCUUUACAAAAGUAGAUUGUUGGUUCUAGACAAAAUAGAGUAUCUGUUAACGUGGAAUUCAAUUUCUACCAUGACAUUUUUCGUAGAUGAUGAAAUCUACUUUCGUAGAACAGAAUUAAUUUUUUUUAAUUUAACAAGUUUUUCAACCAAAAAAAUAUCAGUUUGUGUGCAUGGGUAUUUCAUCAAUUAUUUCUAUUUUUUAUAUUUUUUUAUGCCUAAAACUAUUUAUUUUAUUAAGUUUAAAAAUGGAAAGAGUAAUUAAAGAAAAAAUGGGAUAAAAAAGGUUUCAUACUAUAGGGACAAAUUAAAGAGUCUGUUUUUUCAUUCUAUUUUGGCAAAUUACCGGAAAAAAAAAGUAAGAGAAAAGAAUGAAGAUCUGUCCGCAGAGAAAAAGAAAGGGAGAGGGAGAUAGAUAAAAAACUAAAAUAAAUCGAUACCCUUAGAUUUAAGUUAAUUUAACAGCUCAUAAGGGUUAUCCUUGUAUAUUCUUCUGAUUGGUCAUAAACUUUUUACUUUCUUUUUAAUUAAUUUUCAAAUAAAUUUAGUUUAGAAUUUUAAUUUACAUGUUUAGGAUAUUAAAUAUUUAUGUUUUCUUUUGUGGUUUAUAUGGAUCUAAUUGGCCAAAAGAACUUUAUCUUUCUUUUUAUUUUAAAAUUUUUAGAAUUAAGUAGAGAAUAUUAGAUUUGAAGUUUUACUUAUGAAUUUUAAAUAUAUGGGGUUUGGAGUUACGGUAAGAUUUGAGAUUAUUUUUUAGAAAAAUAAAGUGAUAGUUUAUAUUAAUAUUUGGUGCUUAAGCUUAAAAUUAUUAAAUUAAUAUUUAGAUUAUGAUUUGGAUAGAGAGUUUAGGGUUUGAAGUGUAAUGUUAAGGCUUAGUUUUAAGAUUAAAUUUUGGAAAUAAAAAAUUUGAGUAUUAUUUUAAGAUUUGGACAUAAAGUAUGAACAAUAGGGGUGUUGAAUACAGUAUGAUAGUGUUUAUAAAAUUUGGAGUAUAAGGUUUAUGUAUAAAUUUUAGGGCUUAGAUGUAUGUUUAGGGUAUAAAGUUUGACUAAAUAUUUAAGGUUUGUGUUUUGGAAGUUAUAGAUGAAGAUUAAAAGGAAUAAUUUUUUUGAAUUUAAGUUUACUAUUUCAGGUUAUAGUAUGAAAAAUUAGAGUCUUGAGGUUUAUGUUUAGAGUUUAGGGUUUUAAACAUUUUUAGGUUUAGGGUUUCAUAGAUUAGAAAUUGAUCUUUCAUAGCAAUUUUCAAAACAAAGCUAUCAUAAUGUGCUAUCGAAAAAGAGAAAAAAUUAUGUCUUGCGCUCGCCUAGUUUUCGCCUAAGUAUUGGCGAUAUUAGUGGUUUAAUAAACUAUCACUUCAUUAUUUUAUAUUUAAAAUAAUAAAGUGAUAGUUUAGAUUUAAAAGUUAUGUCUUAGCGGUAUUAGUGGUUUUCAUUUCCCGCUCACUUUUUUCCAUAGUAGCGUUAAUUAAUUGCUAUUAAUAUAAGCCAAAAUCAGAAAUUAAUAUUUCUUAGCAGUUUUGAAAAAAAUGCUAUCAUAAUAUGCUAUCAAUACCUCUUUUGUAGUGAAACAUUCACGAGAAGCUUGUGCCGGUUGCGGAAAGCUCGCCGGGUGAGCUUACUUCACAAGGAAGCAAGAUGUUAAUGUCGCGACUUCGCUUUGAAUAAAUUGAAGACUUGGAUGUCGGUGUUCUUUGAGUCCAAUGACCUUCCAAGCCUCGGCUAGUCGGCUGCAUCUUUAGUAGAACUCAAUGAUGAGUUUAUAUAUUGAAUGUGCCGAGUUUGAGCCUUAAUUUCUGAUUCCACGUGGAGAAGUUAUGCUGAAACUAACAUUCUCAAACUUGAUUGACAGAGAAGCUUGAUUCACAUAGAAGCUUGUCUUGACGACCUAUAGAGAAGAAGAAAGGUGAGGUCAUGUCUUGUGAACCGUUUCUUCUUGAUAAGGAGCUUGUGCCGAUUGGGGCAAGCUGAUAGAGUUUGCACUCGGAUUCUUCUUCAAAAACUCGAUCCCAAUAGUACAAACUCGUGUUUAUUGAAUAAAAAGAUUGAGAUUGCAUUUUGUAUCAAAGAUCAAUCUAGAAACGAUGGUUUAACCCAAUCGGACUCUCAUCAAGUUUCACGACUCAAUCUCUCAUACAAAGGUAGCUAAACAAAUGAACUCUAUGUGCCUUUUUAAGCUGUUCAGCGAUCUCCAACGGAAAAUAUUUUUUUCUGGCCCAGUCUUUUAAGACUAGCUGGCUGAUACAAAGUCUUCUUUUGAAUUUAAAUGUUUUCUGGUUUCCCAUGUGCUUCUUCUUCUCCUUUGUUUAUCAUCUCCCUCACGUAACAGUACUGCAGCUUAUCACAAGCUUGUCGUUAAGGCUUGCUUGAGAAAUAGCAGAACUAUUUGACUAUCCAUCUAGAGAUUUUGGAACUUUUCCGGUGUCAAACCAUGACCGCCGAGACAAUCCCGGAGCGAGAAGACUUGAACAAUAUGAUGCUGCUAGACGAUCUCAACCUCAUUAACGAGCUCUGAGAUCAAGCGUUCAAGCGUUCUCUACUCUAUGAAAUUGGUCUCAAGCUCCAAACCAUACCAGUCAUCUAUUGUUAUAACAUACAUGCAACCUAUCUCUAUGCGAAUCCAAUCUUUCAUACCAGUAUGAAGCACAUAGCACUGGACUAUCAUUUUGUUCGUAGCCAGAUUCAAGUGGGUGCUUUACGUGUCGCACACGUCUAAACUCGUGAUCAACUAGUAGAUGCUCUAGCAAAACCAUUGCCUCGAAAACAAUACCAGGUUGCAAUUUCCAAGAUUAUAGUGACUGGAAGCCCCUACAUCUUGAGGGGGCGUAUUAAGGAUAGUGCAUCUAAAUAUGUAAAGCCGUAUAUACACAUUGAUCGUAAUUGAUCUUAACCUAGGCUCUCCUCUCCUCAUGUAUUUCCUUAUAUACCUUGUACAUUCUCAUAUGUUAAUACACAUCUCAAUAUUCAAAACCUAUACCACAUAUUACAAGAUUUCCUCUUGCCAACUUUAUACCUAGUAUUUCUAGUUUUUACCAUUGUCUAGGCAAAACACACAUCUUACAAACCACCUUACACAUAUUCAUCGACCUUUUAGUUUUAGUAGUUUUUGGAUAAAAGAUCAAAUACUUCUUCAGAGAUUUGUAUUGUAACUCCAGUAUCUCUUACUCUAUUUUAUGCAUGCAAUUCAUUUAGUUAUUCUUUAUGUCUUGUUUAAUUAUGUAUGAGCAAUCAUCCUAUUAGAUUUAGGGUUUUUAUUAUGAUUUUGAUGAAUUAUUGAUACAUAGAACUGCUAGGGUGAUUUAUUAGGAUCCUUCACAUCAUUGAUCUAACUGUUUGUGUUAUAGAGUAGCUAACUAGAACUCUGGAUUAAGGAUAAUAGGCAUCUACGAAAUUAAGUUUUUUACAUGAUAAUAAUUAUGCUGAGCUGGGUUGUUGAUAUACAUGAAUUUUACAUGCUUUUAGCCAUGGUAUAUAAGUGCCCGACUAGGCGCCGGGAAGUCGCUCGGUGGAGCUGGGCAAUGGCAAAUUCAUUUCACGGAGAUAGGUGUAUAAUCUUUUUUUUUGAGUUUUGAAUGUGUAAUACUGAUGUUUUAUGGCAAAUCUAUCUAUUUGAGACUCAGCUAACACGGAAUCAUACAACAAUUUGAUGUUUUGAAUGUAAUUAGCUGAUGGCCGCCAUGGAAAUAGCUCUUCAGAGUCGAAACCCUAAAAACAAAAAUCAGGGGAAGAUGAUGAAAAUUACGAUUAUGCCACUGAUUAAAAAAUUAAAUAAAAAAGAAACCAAAAUGCGUUUAGGUAGUGUCAAACCCAGCGACUGGUGAACAAAUUCAACAUCUCUUACCACUAGGCCACUGUAAAUUAAUGGUCCCUGUCCAAAAUAAUCGAAUGUAUUACAAAAAGUAUCCUAAAACUGAAAAUAGUACCAAAAACUAAUCCUCGCUUAAUCUCCGUUUUAUCCCCCAUUUUUUGCUAACUCGCUAGAUCCAGACCAGCCGCCCCACUAGCACCUAACGUAGUUUUGAACAGAGGUAUUUACCCACGUGCUACGCACGGGUCAGUUUCUUCCUUCUAAAUUUAUGAUUUCUUAUGAAUUUAUGUUUAAAUUACAAUCACAUAGAAUACACAUGUACUUGUUCUUCUAACUAUUGAAAUCCAGAUUUAUAUAUAAAGGAUUUUUUAACUAUUGAAAGAAAAUGACUUAUUCUAGGAUAAUCAGCUACUUUAACAAAAAAUUUAUAUAUGAUGAUCAAUUCACGGCAUAAAACUGAAGUAGAUGUACGAUUUUAAAAUGCUACACGUGAUAUUAUAGUAUUGUUCUGGUGGUUUUAUGUGUAUGAAAGGUGUGUCAUGAAUACUUGUUCUUCUCAAUCUUUAUAGGUUAAUAUAGGGUAUAACUUUUGAUAAACGUCCUAGAGCAUCCAACAUAAUAUCAAGAGUAUUCGUUUUAAAAUCAUAAAAUUGAUGCAAGGCCACACAAGUAACUCAAUAAACAUAAGCCACAAAACAGAUACGUAAAUACUUAAUAUUAAUACUCUUGGCUAGUCUGGAUUUCUAAGUAAUCAUCUCUCUCUCAUACAAAGCCUAUGUAUUUUUUUUGUUAAAUGCAUGAUGAAGUCAGGGUUAUAUAUUUUUUUUCUUUGAAAGUAAAUGGAAGCAUUUUGAGAGGGAUAAAUGCAUUAAAGCCACAAGUGAGGAACAUACUUCGUUACCUUAGUUGCUGUCGCUGAUGAUGAAGUUUCUAUUUUCACAUUCUUUUGAAGAAUUAAGCUCUGAUUCAAGUUUCAUCUUCAAUCUUCAAGAUACACAACAGAAACAAUAAAUAUUAACAGUUAUAAAUCUGUACAGUUCUUCUGUACACAGUCAAAAUAUUAACAAAAACAAAAGGAUUACAAUGAGGACGACAA